rnacentral:rRNA from 1 species
GCGGAGGAAAAGAAACCAACAGGGAUUGCCUCAGUAGCGGCGAGUGAAGCGGCAAAAGCUCAAAUUUGAAAUCUGGCGUCUUUGGCGUCCGAGUUGUAAUUUGAAGAAGGUAUCUUUGGGCCCGGCUCUUGUCUAUGUUCCUUGGAACAGGACGUCACAGAGGGUGAGAAUCCCGUGCGAUGAGAUGACCCGGGUCUGUGUAAAGUUCCUUCGACGAGUCGAGUUGUUUGGGAAUGCAGCUCUAAGUGGGUGGUAAAUUCCAUCUAAAGCUAAAUAUUGGCGAGAGACCGAUAGCGAACAAGUACAGUGAUGGAAAGAUGAAAAGAACUUUGAAAAGAGAGUGAAAAAGUACGUGAAAUUGUUGAAAGGGAAGGGCUUGAGAUCAGACUUGGUAUUUUGCAUGUUGCUCUCUCGGGGGCGGCCGCUGCGGUUUACCGGGCCAGCAUCGGUUUGGAGCGGCAGGAUAAUGGCGGAGGAAUGUGGCACGGCUUCUGCUGUGUGUUAUAGCCUCUGACGAUACUGCCAGCCUAGACCGAGGACUGCGGUUUUUACCUAGGAUGUUGGCAUAAUGAUCUUAAGUCGCCCGUCUU